GCCCAGUGCUCUGAAUGUCA
rnacentral:ncRNA from 3 species